rnacentral:rRNA from 1 species
GACGAACGCUGGCGGCGCGCUUAACACAUGCAAGUCGAGCGAGAACCAGUCCUUCGGGACUGGGGACAGCGGCGAACGGGUGAGUAACACGUGGGUAAUCUGCCCUCGGCACCGGAAUAGCCCGGGGAAACCCGGAUUAAUGCCGGAUGGCCUCUCUGCCCCUCGGGGCGGUGAGAAAAGGUAGCUUCGGCCUCCGGCCGAGGAUGAGCCCGCGGCCGAUUAGCUUGUUGGUGGGGUAACGGCUCACCAAGGCGACGAUCGGUAGCUGGUCUGGGAGGACGAUCAGCCACACUGGGACUGAGACACGGCCCAGACUCCUGCGGGAGGCAGCAGUGGGGAAUCUUGCGCAAUGGGCGAAAGCCUGACGCAGCGACGCCGCGUGCGGGAAGAAGGCCUUCGGGUUGUAAACCGCUUUCAGGAGGGACGAAGCCACUCGGGUGAAUAGCCUAGAGGGUGACGGUACCUCCAGAAGAAGCCCCGGCUAACUACGUGCCAGCCGCCGCGGUAAGAC